rnacentral:RNase_P_RNA from 1 species
GAAGCAAGCCAGACAGCCGCUGGCCAUCGCAAGAUGGCGGGAGGAAGGUCCGGACUCCAUAGAGCAGGGUGACGGUUAACGGCCGUCCGCUGAAAGCCGUAAGCGCAGUUGGCUGAGGUAUAAGGCGAGGAAUAGGGCCACAGAGACGAGCGUAUUAAGUUACGGUGAAACGCGGUAACCUCCACCCGGAGCAAUUCCAAAUAGGCACGCGUUGAUGUUGCUCGCGGAGCGUGCGGGUAGGAAGCUUGAGCCGUGGAGUAAUUCACGGCCUAGAGGAAUGGCUGUCAUAGCGGGGCAACCCGCCGUAACAGAAUCCGGCCUAUCGGCUUGCUUCAUUU